rnacentral:rRNA from 1 species
UACAGAGGUCUCAAGCGUUGUUCGGAUUCAUUGGGCGUAAAGGGUGCGUAGGCGGCGCGGUAAGUCGGGUGUGAAAUUUCGGAGCUUAACUCCGAAACUGCAUUCGAUACUGCGGUGCUUGAGGACUGGAGAGGAGACUGGAAUUCAUGGUGUAGCAGUGAAAUGCGUAGAGAUCAUGAGGAAGACCAGUGGCGAAGGCGAGUCCCUGGACAACUCCUGACACUGAGGCACGAAAGCUAGGGGAGCAAACAGG